AACCCCGGCGAGGGGAGUGAAAAAGAACCUGAAACCGUGUACGUACAAGCAGUGGGAGCACGCUUAGGCGUGUGACUGCGUACCUUUUGUAUAAUGGGUCAGCGACUUAUAUUCUGUAGCAAGGUUAACCGAAUAGGGGAGCCGAAGGGAAACCGAGUCUUAACUGGGCGUUAAGUUGCAGGGUAUAGACCCGAAACCCGGUGAUCUAGCCAUGGGCAGGUUGAAGGUUGGGUAACACUAACUGGAGGACCGAACCGACUAAUGUUGAAAAAUUAGCGGAUGACUUGUGGCUGGGGGUGAAAGGCCAAUCAAACCGGGAGAUAGCUGGUUCUCCCCGAAAGCUAUUUAGGUAGCGCCUCGUGAAUUCAUCUCCGGGGGUAGAGCACUGUUUCGGCAAGGGGGUCAUCCCGACUUACCAACCCGAUGCAAACUGCGAAUACCGGAGAAUGUUAUCACGGGAGACACACGGCGGGUGCUAACGUCCGUCGUGAAGAGGGAAACAACCCAGACCGCCAGCUAAGGUCCCAAAGUCAUGGUUAAGUGGGAAACGAUGUGGGAAGGCCCAGACAGCCAGGAUGUUGGCUUAGAAGCAGCCAUCAUUUAAAGAAAGCGUAAUAGCUCACUGGUCGAGUCGGCCUGCGCGGAAGAUGUAACGGGGCUAAACCAUGCACCGAAGCUGCGGCAGCGACGCUUAUGCGUUGUUGGGUAGGGGAGCGUUCUGUAAGCCUGUGAAGGUGUGC
rnacentral:rRNA from 1 species